rnacentral:rRNA from 1 species
UACGAAGGGGGCUAGCGUUGCUCGGAAUCACUGGGCGUAAAGCGCACGUAGGCGGAUUGCUAAGUCGGGGGUGAAAUCCUGGAGCUCAACUCCAGAACUGCCUUCGAUACUGGCGAUCUUGGGUCCGGGAGAGGUGAGUGGAACUCCGAGUGUAGAGGUGAAAUUCGUAGAUAUUCGGAAGAACACCAGUGGCGAAGGCGGCUCACUGGCCCGGUACUGACGCUGAGGUGCGAAAGCGUGGGGAGCAAACAGG